UCGUACCUAUAUUCAUUUAGGUAUAGCGCCAAUUCCUUGUUGUUGUAGUAAAUAAUUGUUCGUAAAAAUAUGAAAACACGGUUUUCUAUUUUCUCUCGCGAUUUCUGGUUAUAAAUUCCGGUUAUCAGACGACCGGAGAUCACGCGAAGAUGGAUCUAAUGCAUUUGAUACUUGUGCUACGGGUGGAAACUUUGCAGUGGCAAUGAAAUUGUUCGCAAUUUUGUUUUGAGGUUUCAGUUUCGGGUGAAAACCGGGUUUCGGUUUUCGAUUCGUAUCCGGGACCAAAUUUUUGCCAGAUACCCCGGGUUCCAAAACCGAGUUAUAUCCUGUUUUGACUCCAUGAUUUAAACAAUAUACAACGUUAGCGUCAAGUUUUAAUCUCAGAAGAUAGAACAACAUCUCAACGAGCUCUUAUGCGACAACUAAGAUCUGAACUGUCAAGAAAAAGAAAUCACGAAGGAAAAACUGGAUUAUCAAAUACAACAAAGAACAGUGACGCCCAACUUUUCUUUUGCGGUUUUUGGUAAACAAUUAUCUUCAAGCGGGCCACCAAAUAUAAAAGUAGGUACGAAUAAUAUCAUUAUUAAUUCAAUAAUAUAAUUUUGUUGCACAAAUUUGGUAUGCAAUGUACAUGUAGGUAGAUAUUGCAAUUGUUUUCAUAAUUGACUGUUGAAAAUGCCCGAAAAUAAGAUUAAUAAAUUAAUAAAAAAAAUCGCACUUUAUAAUUAUUUUAUUUCUCAAUAUUUUGCUUUAUUUUAGAAUUUGUAAUGGACCUUGUGUUGGGCACCACUACUCAAUAAAUAAGAUUAAUUAUAAUCGAUAAACUUCAAUUAAUGAUGCUCAUAUUAAUAAUUUAAAUUGUAAAAAUCCAAAACUAUUGUGUAGGUUUUAUCAAAAUGUACGUUAAGAAGUAAAUUAUCCUCUGUCGUCACGUGUUCAUGCCUAAUUUACAUCACUUCGAUUACAUUAUUUAUAGGGCUGAUUGUAACAAUAAUAAUAGUACUCACUUUUUUUAUAAAUAAUUUAAACAAUCUUUUGAAAAUUAUACCAUUUAUAACAAGCGAUAAUGCAAGCAUGCAGUGAAAAUUUCAAGUCUCUGAGAUUAUUAUUUUUUGAGUUCUGCUAAAAAUAGAAAAUUUGAUUUUGUCGAAAACCAGUAUACCUAAAGUUUUACUGUUUUAAUUACUAAUGUUAGUAAGUUUUUCGCAAUUAUUUAGAAAACUGUUGUUCCAAACAAUGCUUAUUAUUUUUUUAUGUCCUAUAGGGUACUACUCGUGCGCGCACAUAGAUUUAUAGCUAUUAAUCUGUAUGAGUAAAAUUCUCAAGUGUUUAUAAAUUUUAAUGUAAAAUAGUAAGUACAUAAUAUUAUAUAAUUACAUGAUAUAUGAACAAUAAAUUG